rnacentral:lncRNA from 1 species
AUUUUAUAUUUUAUUUCCUUGUAUGUCAAGAAACAUAGCUCCUAUGGCUAAAAUAGAACAUAGGAGAAAAUGAUUAUUUUUUUUGGCUUUUGAAGAAAAUAGGACGAUCCAAAAAAACAUUUAAAUAAAUUGAAAAGCCAAAAUAAUCAUUGAUGAGAGAUUUAACCAAAAGAAUUAAGGUGAGCGAUUCAGGCUCUUGAGAGCCUCUUGUUUUAUAUA